rnacentral:rRNA from 1 species
UACAGAGGUCCCAAGCGUUGUUCGGAUUCACUGGGCGUAAAGGGGGCGUAGGCGGCGCGGUAAGUCGGGUGUGAAAUCUUGGAGCUUAACUCCGAAACUGCAUUCGAUACUGCCGUGCUUGAGGACUGGAGAGGAGACUGGAAUUUACGGUGUAGCGGUGAAAUGCGUAGAUAUCGUAAGGAAGACCAGUGGCGAAGGCGGGUCUCUGGACAGUUCCUGACGCUGAGGCACGAAGGCCAGGGGAGCAAACGGG